UACGUAGGGAGCAAGCGUUGUUCGGAUUUACUGGGCGUAAAGGGCGCGUAGGCGGCGCGGUAAGUCACUUGUGAAAUCUCUGAGCUUAACUCAGAACGGCCAAGUGAUACUGCAGUGCUAGAGUGCAGAAAGGGCAAUCGGAAUUCUUGGUGUAGCGGUGAAAUGCGUAGAUAUCGGGAGGAACACCAGUGGCGAAGGCGAGUCUCUGGGAUGAUGCUGACGCUGAGGCGCGAAAGCCAGGGGAGCAAACGGG
rnacentral:rRNA from 1 species